AUCUCCGUGAAGAAGACGAUGAAGAGGAAGAGGAAGAGGAAGGGAGAGAGAGGUGUUAGUGUCUGAGGAACGAGGAAGUGGCGAUGUGGUAUAAAUACCUGCGCGCGCUAAUGCUCGUCGAGAGGAAGGUGAAUUAGUGCGAAGAACGUAGGAAAAACAGAGGACAUGCAGUUCCUAUAAUUUAUUUUUUCAAUGUACUUGUGGGGGCCCCUCUUCCAUGCUUUAUUUGAUAUAUACAUACCAGAUUUCUAAAAA